rnacentral:rRNA from 1 species
ACAUACGACCAUACCUACCAGAAAAUACGGGAUCCCGUCCGCUCUCCCAUAGUCAAGCUGGUAAGGGGCGGAUUAGUAGUUGGGUCGGUGACGACCAGCGAAUUCCCGCUGUUGUAUGUU